CCACCUCGCACCACCUGCAAUCCGCAUUUGUUAGCUCAAUGGUUGUUUACAUUAAAUCAAUCUACUUUUGUAAGGUCAAUAAACCGAUUUGAGCUAGAAAAUAACAGUACGUACUUGAAAACUGACGUAAAAAGUGGCACCGGGGUUAACAUAUUGGUAAUAACAGUCCUCUUUCCCUGGGUCUAUAUGGACCUUAUAGUCCAUGGCCACAGCUGGGAGAUUUUCGUACCAUGGUACAGUCGAUUGGGCCCCGGUUUCACAUAAUAAAAUGCAGAAAAAAACAAAAGUUGGUACAAAACAUGCAACGAACGUGGCACUACUCUUAACCAUGUUUCGUGUAUUGCGGGUUGCGGGGAACAGGCAAGAUAAAUUAGAAAGUUGAAAAUCCUUCAGACGUGAAAAAAGCCAUCAUUGAGGGGAAUUACGCCGUGAAAUGACGCCACGUAACCUAACAAUAUCAUUUAUUGUCUAACUUAACGGUCCAAAUAACAAUAAUAAACUAAACACUACUGGUUCUGA